rnacentral:rRNA from 1 species
GGUGGACCUGCGGAGGGAUCAUUACCGAGUUUAC